GAUGAACGCUGGCGGUAUGCUUAACACAUGCAAGUCGAACGAACUCUUCGGAGUGAGUGGCGGACGGGUGAGUAACGCGUGAGAAUCUACCUCAAGGACGGGGACAACAGCAGGAAACUGGUGCUAAUACCCGAUAGCGCUGAAAAGUGAAAGAUUUAUUACCUAGAGAGGAGCUCGCGUCCGAUUAGCUAGUUGGAAGGGUAAAAGCCUACCAAGGCGACGAUCGGUAGCUGGUCUGAGAGGAUGAGCAGCCACACUGGGACUGAGACACGGCCCAGACUCCUACGGGAGGCAGCAGUGGGGAAUUUUCCGCAAUGGGCGAAAGCCUGACGGAGCAAUACCGCGUGAGGGAAGAAGGCUUUUGGGUUGUAAACCUCUUUUGUCAGGGAAGAAAAAAUGACGGUACCUGAAGAAAAAGCAUCGGCUAACUCCGUGCCAGCAGCCGCGGUAAUACGGAGGAUGCAAGCGUUAUCCGGAAUCAUUGGGCGUAAAGGGUCCGCAGGUGGCGAAUAAAGUCUGCUGUUAAAGACCGGGGCUAAACUCCGGAAAGGCAGUGGAAACUGAUUAGCUAGAGUACGGUAGGGGUAGAGGGAAUUCCCAGUGUAGCGGUGAAAUGCGUAGAUAUUGGGAAGAACACCGGUGGCGAAAGCGCUCUACUAGGCCGAAACUGACACUGAGGGACGAAAGCUAGGGUAGCGAAAGGGAUUAGAUACCCCUGUAGUCUUAGCUGUAAACGAUGGAUACUAGGUGUAGCUUGUAUC
rnacentral:rRNA from 1 species